AGCACAUGCCCGCAUAUCUUCUCACCCAUUACUGUUCAUGGGAAUUUUAGGACUGAUCCUGGAAGAUGCUGAGUAGGUCCCAGGAUCUUCAGUUCAGGAUCUUGGUCUACUAGUGAUAAGAAUUUUCCUUAUAACACCCUUUCAGACUCAGACCAACUGGAUAUAAGGAGUGCUACAGGCCAGGAUACCUUAAAGGACCAUGUAACUCAGAAGACUCGAUCUUUUACUGAUGAGACCUAUUCACCCAAGGAUUCGUAUAUUGAAGUACAAAUAAUAGCUGUCUCCAAUGUUACACUAAAGGGUACAGUUUAUUACCUCACUACUAAAACAAAAUUGUGGUGUACGUUGGACUAUGCAAAUAAUUCAGCAGGUUUUUUGAUCU